rnacentral:rRNA from 1 species
UACCAGCACCCCGAGUGGUCGGGACGAUUAUUGGGCCUAAAGCAUCCGUAGCCGGUUUUACAAGUCCUCCGUUAAAUCCCAGCUGCUUAACAGAUGGGCUGCGGAGGAUACUAUAAGACUAGGAGGCAGGAGAGGCAAGCGGUACUCAGUGGGUAGGGGUAAAAUCCGUUGAUCCAUUGAAGACCACCUAGUGGCGAAGGCGGCUUGCCAGAAUGCGCUCGACGGUGAGGGAGUGAAAAGCUGGG